rnacentral:rRNA from 1 species
AGGCCUACGGGAGGCAGCAGUGGGGGAUAUUGGACAAUGGGGGAAACCCUGAUCCAGCGACGCCGCGUGAGUGAAGAAGUAUUUCGGUAUGUAAAGCUCUGUCAGCAGGGAAGAAAGAAAUGACGGUACCUGACCAAGAAGCCCCGGCUAACUACGUGCCAGCAGCCGCGGUAAUACGUAGGGGGCAAGCGUUAUCCGGAAUUACUGGGUGUAAAGGGUGCGUAGGUGGCAGGGCAAGUCAGAUGUGAAAGCCCGGGGCUCAACCCCGGUACUGCAUUUGAAACUGUCCAGCUGGAGUGCAGGAG